GUGGGGAAUAUUGGACAAUGGGCGAAAGCUUGAUCCAGCCAUGCCGCGUGUGUGAAGAAGGUCUUCGGAUUGUAAAGCACUUUAAGUUGGGAGGAAGGGCAGUAAGUUAAUACCUUGCUGUUUUGACGUUACCGACAGAAUAAGCACCGGCUAACUUCGUGCCAGCAGCCGCGGUAAUACGAAGGGUGCAAGCGUUAAUCGGAAUUACUGGGCGUAAAGCGCGCGUAGGUGGUUUUGUAAGUUGGAGGUGAAAUCCCCGGGCUCAACCUGGGAACUGCCUCCAAACUGCAUGACUAGAGUACGGUAGAGGGUAGUGGAAUUUCCUGUGUAGCGGUGAAAUGCGUAGAUAUAGGAAGGAACACCAGUGGCGAAGGCGACUACCUGGACUGAUACUGACACUGAGGUGCGAAAGCGUGGGGAGCAAACAGGAUUAGAUACCCCAGUAGUCC
rnacentral:rRNA from 1 species